rnacentral:tRNA from 3 species
GUUUUCAGUCGGUUGUGCAUCGAAAACCAAAUGAAAACUAAGCAUGAAGAAAGCAUUGUAAUUGCUUGUUUGGACGGGAGUUCGAUUCUCCCCGGCUCCA